rnacentral:rRNA from 1 species
UACGUAGGGUGCGAGCGUUGUCCGGAAUUAUUGGGCGUAAAGAGCUCGUAGGCGGUCUGUCGCGUCGGUCGUGAAAACUUGGGGCUUAACCCUGAGCUUGCGGUCGAUACGGGCAUGACUGGAGUUCGGCAGGGGAGACUGGAAUUCCUGGUGUAGCGGUGAAAUGCGCAGAUAUCAGGAGGAACACCGGUGGCGAAGGCGGGUCUCUGGGCCACUACUGACGCUGAGAAGCGAAAGCAUGGGGAGCGAACAGG